UACAGAGGUGGCAUGCGUUGUUCGGAAUUACUGGGCGUAAAGGGCGCGUAGGCGGCCAUCUAAGUCAGACGUGAAAUCCCCCGGCUUAACCUGGGAACUGCGUCUGAUACUGGAGGGCUCGAGUGCGGGAGAGGGAUGUGGAAUUCCAGGUGUAGCGGUGAAAUGCGUAGAUAUCUGGAGGAACACCGGUGGCGAAGGCGGCAUCCUGGACCGACACUGACGCUGAGGCGCGAAAGCUAGGGUAGCAAACGGG
rnacentral:rRNA from 1 species